rfam:Hoeflea sp. BAL378 NODE_97, whole genome shotgun sequence.
AGUCAAGAGUGUUUGGCGCCAUUUUGGCGAAUGAAUUUCUAUUGCCUUUUGGAAGGUGAAAGAAAAUG